rnacentral:rRNA from 1 species
UGGUGGGUUGCCUUGUCAGGUUGAUUCCGGUAACGAACGAGACCUCAGCCUGCUAAAUAGUCACGACUGCUUUUGCAGUUGGCCGACUUCUUAGAGGGACUAUUGUCGUGUAGGCAAUGGAAGUAUGAGGCAAUAACA